rnacentral:rRNA from 1 species
UAGGGAAUCUUCCACAAUGGACGGAAGUCUGAUGGAGCAACGCCGCGUGAGCGAAGAAGGUUUUCGGAUCGUAAAGCUCUGUUGUGAGGGAAGAACAAGUGCAGGAGUAACUGCCUGUACCUUGACGGUACCUCAUUAGAAAGCCACGGCUAACUACGUGCCAGCAGCCGCGGUAAUACGUAGGUGGCAAGCGUUGUCCGGAAUUAUUGGGCGUAAAGCGCGCGCAGGCGGCCUUUUAAGUCUGAUGUGAAAGCCCACGGCUCAACCGUGGAAGGUCAUUGGAAACUGGAAGGCUUGAGUACAGAAGAGGAAAGCGGAAUUCCACGUGUAGCGGUGAAAUGCGUAGAGAUGUGGAGGAACACCAGUGGCGAAGGCGGCUUUCUGGUCUGUAACUGACGCUGAGGCGCGAAAGCGUGGGGAGCAAACAGGAUUAGAUACCCGGGUAGUCCACGCUGUAAACGUUGGGCACUAGGUGUGGGAGGUAUUGACCCCUUCGUGCCGC